rnacentral:rRNA from 1 species
UGAUUCUUCGGAUGAGAGAUUAACUGGAAAGCGGCGGACGGGUGAGUAACGCGUGGGUAACCUGCCUUGUACAGAGGGAUAGCCACUGGAAACGGUGAUUAAUACCUCAUAAAGCUAUAGCAUCGCAUGAUGCAGUAGUCAAAACUCAGGUGGUACAAGAUGGACCCGCGUCUGAUUAGCUAGUUGGUGGGGUAAAGGCCUACCAAGGCGACGAUCAGUAGCCGACCUGAGAGGGUGAUCGGCCACACUGGAACUGAGACACGGUCCAGACUCCUACGGGAGGCAGCAGUGGGGAAUAUUGCACAAUGGGCGAAAGCCUGAUGCAGCAACGCCGCGUGAGUGAAGAAGGCCUUCGGGUCGUAAAACUCUGUCCUAAGGGAAGAAUAAUGACGGUACCUUAGGAGGAAGCCCCGGCUAACUACGUGCCAGCAGCCGCGGUAAUACGUAGGGGGCAAGCGUUAUCCGGAAUCACUGGGCGUAAAGGGCGCGUAGGCGGCCAAAUAAGCCAGAGGUGAAAGGCUACGGCUCAACCGUAGUAAGCCUUUGGAACUGUAUGGCUUGAGUGCAGGAGAGGAGAGUGGAAUUCCUAGUGUAGCGGUGAAAUGCGUAGAUAUUAGGAGGAACACCAGUGGCGAAGGCGACUCUCUGGACUGCAACUGACGCUGAGGCACGAAAGCGUGGGGAGCGAACAGGAUUAGAUACCCUGGUAGUCCACGCCGUAAACGAUGAGUGCUAGGUGUCGGGGGUUCACACCCUCGGUGCCGGAGUUAACGCAUUAAGCACUCCGCCUGGGGAGUACGGUCGCAAGACUGAAACUCAAAGGAAUUGACGGGGACCC